rnacentral:tRNA from 1 species
GGGCGGUUAGCUCAGCUGGUAGAGCGCCUGGUUUACACCCAGUAGGUCGGCGGUUCGAACCCGUCACCGCCCACCA